GAAACGCGAAAGGUAAUGCGAAUUGCAGAAUCAGUGAGUCAUCGAAUCUUUGAACGCACAUUGCGCCUCUCGGUAUUCCGGGAGGCACGCCUGUUCGAGCGCCAUUACAAACUCCAAGCGUUGGCUUGAUGUUGGCCGAUGUCCGGAGAGGGACACGGCUGGAAGGGGUUGGCGCCUCCGGCGGACCACGAGCGUAGCGAGACGAGAGUCAAAAGCGCAUCGAGGGUCCGGACGGACGGCGGCCUUGAGAAAGGGCUGGGAAGCCGAUAGCAACAGUUUGGCCUCGGAUCAGGCGGGGAUACCCGCUGAACUUAA
rnacentral:misc_RNA from 1 species